AUCCGGGAGACAUUUCCUUCAGCAAGCGCUUACACUGUUGAGAGCAUGUGGUUUCCAGCCAAUUCAGAUAGACUCGAAAAUGUUGGUAGCAAGUUAUUUGCUUACCAGUUUUUUUUAAGUGAUUAUGAUCUUACAUGAUACAAAACAUUUUUAACUACAAAUAAGUAAAUCCUUUAAAACUCCACUUAAAAUGGCAUGUCGCUGCAUCUUGGGUAGGCCGCAUCGGAAAGCAACGUGAAGAUGGUAUUUUGAGACUGAUGUCUGGUUCUUGGAGUCACAACGUGUUCACGUGGUCGGAUUUUGCUCCACAUGGUUUACAAAAGCAACUGGACCAGACGUGGCUUAAUAUCUGGAGUAGCAUCAUCAUAGGUACUGCAAUGGGAUGCUCAAGAAAUGGACAGUGAUUCAAAACUUCAAUUGAUAUUGAAUCAAUCAUAUCUCUGCUUUUAGUGCCCCCCCCCCCCCC